UCUUUUUUCUCAUCCUUCUCUGCUGAAAGCCUAAAACAGAUCUAAUUUUUUUCUCGGCCAUUUUUUCUCCACCAUUUUUUCUCCGUUGAAGAACUGAUAUCUAGGUUUUCUCUCACGUCUUCUCUCUGUUACCAUCUCGCCUCUUCUCUCCAUCUAAUCCAUCUCAUUUCCAUUUUCAUCUCGUCCAUCUCUUCUCUGUUGAGGGAGAGAGUUAUAAGAAAAAGGUGAUAUUUUUACAGAUUAGAUUAAGGUUUGAAUGAGAAUCGAUGAUGGAGAUAAAGAUCUUGAGUCUGAUUUAGAUAAAUGGAAUAGAAUUAGGGAUCGUUUAUGGUCAUGGUGUCGAUCCGUCUGUUGAUUCAAACUCAACAGAAAUGUAAGUUGAAUUUAGGGUUUCUUUAAUUAGCUUUUAUUUUGUGUGAAAUUGAUUUAUAGACUGAUCAAUUAGUGAUGGGUUUGCUUUUAAUUGAAGUUUGGAUGAUGUAUAGGGUUUAAUUUCAGUUUGGAAUUAGGGUUCAUCCCGAAUUAGGUUUUUGGUUAUAAACUUAGACCAGUAUUCUUGAGUUUGAAUGAUAGUGGUGGUUAGAAGAAAAGAUUAAGAAUAACUAAGCUAAUAAAGAUAAAAAGGGUGAGACAAUAGUGGUGGUUAGAAGAAAAGAUUAAGAAUAACUGAGCUAGUGGGAGUUUAGGUUUAAUUUGGUGAAGGGGUUGAAUUACAGGGGACUAUUGGUGGAGUCAAUGAGGAGCUGAAGACGAUAUGGUGGGUAUGUGGUGAAGCUGUAAUUAUAGCUAGGGAUUCCUGCAUUCGGUACCACUAAGCCUUCUUUUCAGAUUUACAUAUUUAUUAUUCUUUUUACAGGUGUGUGAUAAAUUUAGUUACUGUAAAUUUUAACAGAGAUGAAGAUUCCAAAACUCAUGCCUAUAGAUGCUGAAUCCAGAAGGAUUAUUGAUGGGAUGGAAAGCGGUGUUUAUGAUGCAUUACAGAAGAAAUACCUAAGAACACUUCUGUUCUGCAUAUCUGAAGCUAUUGAAGGACCUAUAAUAGAAGAAUAUGUGUGGAUAUUAAAUCUCACUUUUCUUUCAUUUGCUAGAUUUAGUCAUUGAUGAUGAGCUGGGGUUGGAUCUGAUUUUUAGUACUCUUAGUCUUAAAGUAGCCUUAAAUUCUGGUAGGAAAUUGAUAAGAAGUUUAUACUAAUACAUGAAUGGAUUGUAUUGUGCAGUUUCAUUUGGUUAUUCGAAUUCCAACAGCGAAGAUGUUAUGAUGAACAUAAGUCAUACCGGAAACAAGAAACAAGGAGCAACGUUCAGAUCUUAUGGAAAUGCAGACAUUACACCAAAUAAAAUGAGGAGUUCUGCCUCCAUUCUUCAUAGGUUUCUCAGAAGAAGAAGUUAACCAUCCAUGGUUGAAAACCUCUCUCAAAAUGGAAAUCGGAAAUGUUAACAGCAAACAUAUCGUCCUGGCUCUCAAGGUCAAAAGUAUCCUGGUACCAUGUCAAGAUGAAAACAAUGACAUCGAAGAUGAUGAAGCGAUCAGCUUGGGGGUUGAUUCAGUGCCAACAACUGAGCUUCCAAAUCCAGAUAGCGAGUGUAUCAAUUUCAAUCUGGUGGUUGUGAUGGUGGAGUCUCAGAUGAAUGACGAGUUUUGGGUUCUCAACAAUACGAUUCAACUGAGUUUGUGGCUCUGAGAUCUGAAUUUGAGUGAUGGAUGAAACUGCAGCUGUGGAUGUUGAUGAUUGAUAGGGUGGUGUUGAUAUCAGUUUGCAGUUGCAGAUAGAGUAUCAAGGUGGAAUGGCAGGUGCAGCUGGAGCUCAAACGAGUCAGAGAACUGAAUUUCUACAGAAGAAGGGCUCAGAUGGCACCUCAGAGGAGGAUUGGUCUGUGGUUAUGUUGCAGAAUGUGCUGAGAAUGGUGGUAUUGAACUCAUGGAGGUGAAACUGAAGCGUUGGUGGUGAUGUGUGUUGGCUCAGGAAUGAAUCUAGAUGACUGAGAUGGAGAGUGGGAGACGAAGUGCUGAAUGGCUUGCGAUUGUGUUGCCGUGGAAAACAACAAGAUGAGGUGCAGCUGGGUUGCAAGGAUUGAGUAAGGAUUGCAGUCAAGAGUUAAAUGUGUUUGUGGUUAAUUAGCUGGCAUUGCAAGUCUGGAGUGCAGGACAAGUGUUGAAUUCUACAAGCUUAGGGUUGGCAGACUAAUGGAAGUUUGUGUGACUGCAGAAUGAACUUGAGUGGAAGCUUGUAUGUUCUUAAAGCUGCAUCUGAGCUGAAGCUAGAAUUGAAUUGCAGCAGUUGGUGUUUAACUGAUGCUGGUGGUGACUUGGUAAGAAGGCAUGAUGGAGUUGCAGGUGCAGUUGUGCAAAAGUUGGUUUGAGAAGAAGAAGGUAAUGGUGCUGUUACAGCUGAGAGCUGAUGUGGAAUGUGUCUUUGCAGUUGAAUAGUAACCCUUAUUAGAUAAAACUCUGCAGAUAACAUGUGUGCGUGCGUCCUUGGAUUUGUAUUGAUGAACUUUUGUCUGUUCUUCUUUUUCAUUAGAUUUCAAUGACAUGAUGCAAGUUUUGAUAAGUAUAAGUUUUUGGUUCA